UGGGGUAUAGCCAAGCGGUAAGGCAGCGGGUUUUGAUCCCGUCAUUCCAAGGUUCAAAUCCUUGUACCCCAGCCA
rnacentral:tRNA from 7 species